rnacentral:lncRNA from 10 species
AGGACAGAAGGGGCUUCUAGAAUUUAUUAUCUUUCAAAGAAUUUAUGUUUGUGGUUUUUAGCUGCAGAAACCUUUGUUUCAAAGAAAACAUUACCCUAAGCCAAGCGUGGAAAAAAAAUAAGUGUUCAGGUGCUCCGGGUGAAUUAGGACAGGGGCCUGAAGCCCUGAGAGCGGGGCUCGUUCCCACCUGAUGGCGGCCCUGGAGGGAUUCUUCAGAGCAGUGUGAAGUCUACUGAUUUGCAGGUGUGGUGGUGUGCCGCUGUAUUCCCAGCUACUUGGGAGGCUGAGGAGGGAGAAUCACUUGAACCUGGGAGGCGAAGGCUGCAAAUGAGCUGAGAUGACGCCACUGCACUCCAGCCUGGGCAGCAGAGUGAAACCCUGUUUCAAAAAAGAAGGUCCCACCUUGGAGACUGUGAUCUAACUGGUAAAGAAAGCAGGAAACUGUGACUAAAUGAAGAUCACAGAGCCAGUUGAUCAGUGGGGAAGCUGCAUCUGAAAUCCAGGACUUCUAGAUCCUGGGUCAACUGGAGGGGUCAUGCAUUCUGGAAAAUAAUGCAGAGUGGUACAGGCUGAAGCGGAGCGGAGAGGACACUGUUUCAAGAUUCCUGCGCCAGCUCCUUCGUUGUUAUAGAAGUUGGACUAAAUAAAAGGGUAAUCACAAGCGUACAGAUAACAGGCAGGCAGGAAUGUGAAAAUCAGAGAGAAGAGAGAUGUGCACCAGAAGCUGGAGUAAUGUGCUUUGAAGAUGGAGGAAGGGACCAUAAAUCAAGGAAUGCAGACAGCCUGUAGAAGCUGGGAAAGGCAAGGAUGUGGAUUCACUCGAGUCUCUAGAAGAAACGCAACCCCGCCAACACCUUGAUUUGAGGACGUCUGACCUUCAGAAUGAGAAAAUGAUACAUUUGUGUUGUAAGCCACCCAGUUUGUGAAAUAUGUAUCAACAAUUGAAAACUAGUACAUAGUCAAAUACUCAAUCUCUGUUUUUUUUAGCUUAUCAUUUUCAAUCUCUGUCUCCAACCCACAAACCACAUGCAUCAUAAAUAAAUUAAAAUACCAAAA